AUGGCAAAGUGUCGAUGACUAAAGUGCAUGGACGCUUGUACAGAUGUUCAGUCAGAGGUGCAAUUCUGAAGGACACUCUCCACUAACAUACAUGGACUUGAGCGACGUUCAAGAAAAUUCUGUCACGCCAACUUCUGCAGCAUGACUGUUCUCCCGCACUGAAAGACCUCCCUUGUAUGUCAACGUCAAAAAUCGCAGACCAAUCCAAGAUGUGCCGCCUCCACCUACUUGGCAACCUUAUUCUCACCUGAAUGAAGCUGGGCAUCCGGACCCUGAAUUUCCCAUCGGGAGUCCCACACAGUCCGCCAAGUAUACAACGAUGCAAUGGCAGACGAGGGAAAUGAAUGAGCGUCUACUUCAGCCAGUGUGGCAGUCAGCCCAGCU